AUUGAACGCUGGCGGCAUGCCUUACACAUGCAAGUCGAACGGUAACAGGUUAAGCUGACGAGUGGCGAACGGGUGAGUAAUGCAUCGGAACGUGCCCGGUCGUGGGGGAUAACGCAGCGAAAGCUGCGCUAAUACCGCAUACGAUCUGAGGAUGAAAGCGGGGGACCGUAAGGCCUCGCGCGAUCGGAGCGGCCGAUGUCAGAUUAGGUAGUUGGUGGGGUAAAGGCGCACCAAGCCGACGAUCUGUAGCUGGUCUGAGAGGACGACCAGCCACACUGGGACUGAGACACGGCCCAGACUCCUACGGGAGGCAGCAGUGGGGAAUUUUGGACAAUGGGCGCAAGCCUGAUCCAGCAAUGCCGCGUGCAGGAAGAAGGCCUUCGGGUUGUAAACUGCUUUUGUACGGAGCGAAAAGGCUCUCUCUAAUACAGGGGGCUCAUGACGGUACCGUAAGAAUAAGCACCGGCUAACUACGUGCCAGCCGCCGCGGUAA
rnacentral:rRNA from 1 species